UAGGAGGACCUGGCAGCUGCUGCGAACACCGCAAGAGCUGCUUUACCAGCCACAGACUCAUACAAGAGGAACUCUGAGAGGGCCAGAGUUGAAGGGGACCACGGAGUGAGCAGUGCUAAGGGCAACUGGUGCUUUCCUGAUGCCUUCAUCAUGUCAUCCUUGGCUUUUAGACAUUUCCUUGGUCUGUGUUUUCUCUGUGGAAACAUCUAUGGAUGCACUCCUGCUCCAUCAGGGAACAUGAAGAAAUUUACUUUCGGUUGCCCCUAUGCGAAAGGACUCCAAGAACACAACUUCCAAAGGCAGCAAGUGCAUUGCCUUGAAGAAAGAGAAGAGAAGGAAAAGCCGAGUGGCACCUUUAAUAACAACAAGUGAGUGCAGAGGUAGAUCCGGGCAGCCUGAUCCCCAAAACUUAGCUUCCUUCAAAUCCCCUGAUACAAUCAACAAUCCAAACCUGCAGUUAAGGCCACAGGUGAUGUUUCUUAUGUAAGUAGAUCCCUCUGCUUCAGAUUUCAUUUUCAGAAGUCACAAAAGUUUAAAAGGGAAACACUAUUUUCAUGAAAAGGACCAUAAAAGAGACCUGGAUUGGUAUAAAGGAAGGUUCUUAAAUUUCACCAUGUUGGUCAACCUGGGGAAGUGUGUG
ensembl:lncRNA